CAGAUUUAUUAUGAUGAAAUGGUGCUGGAAAAGAACAAAAAUUGAUUCAAACUUUUAUUAAAAGUUAAUGAAUCACUGUUUAUUACUCCAGAGAAAUAUGAUGUUUUAUUGAAGGGCAACUGGUAGUGCACUGCUUAGAGAUACUGCCUUUGGAUCCGAUGCUUGCAGGUUCAAAUCAAACCUCUGGCUAUAGUUCUCUUGAGCAAGGUACUUACCCUAAAAUUACCCAGCUGUAUAAAUGGGUAAGUAACUUUAUGCUGUAAAUAGCUUCUGGAAAAAAGCAUCAGCUAAAUGAAUACAUGUAAAUUUUGUACCUUGACAAUAGUUUCAGACCUUUAAACAACCAUUUCUGACGCUUAAUGUACUGCAACCUACAGCUGUGAGCUAAUUGUUUUCAAACACCUGAUAUGCAUUCAUUCAUUCGCUGCAGAAAGAAUAAAUCGUUGACUAUGGGACCACACUCUUCAGGCACCGCCUUCCCAGCGAUGCGCCUCUCACCUUCAAACCUGCUGCAGCCGCCGGGCCGCUUGGGUCCACGGCCUGAAUGUGACACGGUUUGUCGCCCCUCACCACAAAGCCCCAGCCCACCGCGUCGCCCACAAUCUGCAAAAUGAGAACCAGGGGCUGAAUCUAAUGUUUUUUUACGCAGGAUGUGUGUGUUGGGACUCAGGGCUGAUUUUGGGAACAGGAACCUACAGUGAAGGUCUUCUUUAUGUAAGGGCUUCCAGGCCUCUGGAGCUCCUCUGCUGUCACUGGUUUCUUCAAGACUGCAAGUGGAAGGACUCAGGUUAGCACCACCUUCAAGCUGGUAACUGCCUGACAGGU
rnacentral:lncRNA from 1 species